GAUGAACGCUGGCGGCGUGCUUAAUACAUGCAAGUCGAACGGACAGGCCCUGCUUUUGUGGGUUGCUUGAGUGCCGCACGGGUGAGUAACACGUGAGUAACCCGUCCCUGUCUUUGGGAUAACUUUAGGAAACUCGGGCUAAUACCCGAUAGGAUAUUCUGCUCCAUGGUGGGGGAUGGAAAGUUUCGGCGGUUGUGGAUGGACUCGCGGCUUAUGCGCUUGUUAGUGGAGUAGUGGCAUACCAAGCCUUUGACGGCUAGCCGGCCUGGGAGGGUGACCGGGCACAUUGGGACUGAGGUACGGCGCAGACGCCUACGGUAGGCAGCAGUGGAGAAUAUUGCGCAAUGGGGGGGAGCCUGAUACGACAACGCCGCGUGCGGGAUGACGGCCUUCGGGUGGUAAACCGAUUUCGCCUGUGACGAGGCGUGAGUGACGGUAAUGGGUAAAGAAGCACCGGCUAACUACGUG
rnacentral:rRNA from 1 species